rnacentral:rRNA from 1 species
GAUGAACGCUGGCGGCGUGCCUAAUACAUGCAAGUCGAGCGAACAGACGAGGAGCUUGCUCCUCUGACGUUAGCGGCGGACGGGUGAGUAACACGUGGAUAACCUACCUAUAUGACUGGGAUAACUCCGGGAAACCGGAGCUAAUACCGGAUAAUAUAUUGAACCGCAUGGUUCAAUAGUGAAAUACGGUUUUGCUGGCACUUAUAGAUGGAUCCGCGCCGCAUUAGCUAGUUGGUAAGGUAACGGCUUACCAAGGCAACGAUGCGUAGCCGACCUGAGAGGGUGAUCGGCCACACUGGAACUGAGACACGGUCCAGACUCCUACGGGAGGCAGCAGUAGGGAAUCUUCCGCAAUGGGCGAAAGCCUGACGGAGCAACGCCGCGUGAGUGAUGAAGGUCUUCGGAUCGUAAAACUCUGUUAUUAGGGAAGAACAAAUGUGUAAGUAACUAUGCACGUCUUGACGGUACCUAAUCAGAAAGCCACGGCUAACUACGUG